CGCGGCCUAUCAGCUUGUUGGUGAGGUAAUGGCUCACCAAGGCGUCGACGGGUAGCCGGCCUGAGAGGGUGACCGGCCACACUGGGACUGAGACACGGCCCAGACUCCUACGGGAGGCAGCAGUGGGGAAUAUUGCACAAUGGGCGAAAGCCUGAUGCAGCAACGCCGCGUGAGGGACGACGGCCUUCGGGUUGUAAACCUCUUUUAGCAGGGAAGAAGCGAAAGUGACGGUACCUGCGGAAAAAGCGCCGGCUGACUACGUGCCAGCAGCCGCGGUAAUACGUAGGGCGCAAGCGUUAUCCGGAAUUAUUGGGCGUAAAGAGCUCGUAGGCGGUUCGUCGCGUCUGCUGUGAAACCCCGAGGCUCAACCUCGGGCCUGCAGUGGGUACGGGCAGACUAGAGUGCGGUAGAGGAGAUUGGAAUUCCUGGUGUAGCGGUGGAAUGCGCAGAUAUCAGGAGGAACACCGAUGGCGAAGGCAGAUCUCUGGGCCGUAACUGACGCUGAGGAGCGAAAGGGUGGGGAGCAAACAGGCUUAGAUACCCUGGUAGUCCACCCCGUAAACGUUGGGAACUAGUUGUGGGGUCCAUUCCACGGAUUCCGUGACGCAGCUAACGCAUUAAGUUCCCCGCCUGGGGAGUACGG
rnacentral:rRNA from 1 species